UCGCGUGGUAUAGUGUAGUGUCCUCCCCCUACUGGUUGGAUUAAAGUUAAUAUUGAUGGUUCUUGUAAAGCUUCAGGCUCAUGUUUUGGGGGUGUUUUUUGAAAUAGUGAUGGCAAAACGUUCCUGGUGUUUUUGCUUCUAAUCAAGACUGGCCUAGCUCAACUGCGGCUGAAUUUCUUGCUUUUCUUGAGGCUAUCAAGUCUCUUGGGUGAUAUAUUGGAAAGUGGAAGAACUGUUUGUGGCGCAUUAAGCAGAUGAAUUUUGUUUGCACUCAUAUUUAUCCGAAAGGUAAUUGUGUCGCAGAUAUGUUAGCAAAUUUUGGUGCUAAUAAUUAUCUUUGAGGUACUCGUUUAAGCGUCAAUCCUCCAAAAAACGAUGCAGUUGGGAAAUUGUUUGGUUAAUUAAAAUGUGUGAAAAAGCACAAUAAGUUAAAUACAACUGAAACAAAAAAUGGAGUUAAUCAUAUAUGAGUACUCUAUUGCCUCUUUUACACUAAUUCAGGUGGUGGCAAUCACUGGCGGAUCCACAGAGGCGCAAGGAGGUGCAGCUGCACCUCCCCUCGCCGGAAACUUCCUUGGGGAUGCUGGAAUUUGCCCCUUCGCUAGUGCCCACCAAUUGUUCGACUAAAUGCCUCAAAGACGUUGUAUUGUUUGCUGCUGUGUGAGACCCUGAAUAUUUACCUUAUAUU